GGUGACACAGUGACAGAGUUAGGGAGGGAGUGACUAGUGACAGAGAGAGGGAUGAGGUGACUAGGGACAGAGGGGGUGAUUAGUGACAGUGAGUGAGCGGGUGACUAGUGACAGAGUGAGGGAGGGAGUAACUAGUGACAGAGAGAGGGAUGGGGUGACUAGUGACAGUCACCCCCUCCCUCUGUCACUAGUCACUCCCUCCCUCUGUCAAUAGUCACUCCCUCCCUCUGUCACCAGUCAUCCCCUCCCUCUGUCACCAGUCAUCCCCUCCCUCUGUCACUAGUCACCUCUUCCCUCCCUCACUUUGCCACUAGUCAUCUCUUCCCUCUCU